ACUCAAAAAAUAAAUAAAUACAUAAAUACAUAAAUAAAUAAAAAGAAAAGAAAACUGACCGCAAAAUGGGCUCUUAUUUUGAGCAUGUACAAAACACAGGUAAGUCUGAUGGUCUCGGUACAUGCGAUACUGUUAACAGUUGGAAGAGGGGAGAAACAUUUCUGGAGGUGCUAACUGAAGUGCUUGAAAUACUUUAUGUUAUUUAAUCCUCAUAACCACACUGAAGCAUCGUUGCCCUAGUUAAGCCUCUUCAGCUAAGACUCUUCAGUUGCAAGAAACAGAAACCCAUUUCAGACAGCUUUAAGCCAAACAACAACAACAAAAACAUUUGUUAUAUGGGCGUAAGGUUAUUUCACAGAACCCAAGAGUGAGAAUGCAGCUGGGUCUUCAAGGCUGACCCAAACCAAGUGCUCCUUGAGGAUCUAAAUAUAUUUUUCAUCUCCUAGAUAAACCAUAUUUCUAUAUGUUAAACUGAAUAUUUCAGAGGAAGUCACUAAUAAUAGGUGUCUCGGGGGCUUCCGUGAAGGUUCAGGGCUCUGGACAUUCCCACUCCACUCCUAUCAGAACAGCUCUGUUUUUAUUUGGUUAAUACAUCAGGAUUCUGCCUAAGAGUUCAUUGAGGAAAUAGCACUACAGCACCUCCUCUGGCCAGAUACUGUGCAAAGAAUUACAAAAUAAAUCACAGACGAGUGGAGAAGAUAGGAAAGUAAAUACACUCUAAAACAAUAAAGGAGUACAGUGACAGAAAAACGCACAGAUUAUUAAGGGAACUCAAAGAAAGUCUAGUAAGCCCAGAAAGGGGUAGGGCUUAUGGGAGGUUUCACGGAGUGGAUACCUGGAAAGGGGAGGUAAGGCAGCUCAAAGGACACUGUUGUUCAACGGAGGGAAGCGGAUUCAACAAUUAUACAAUUCGCUGAGUCGGGGCUUUCACUGCGAAAGAACUUGGCUUCGGAUCCGUGAUCAAGGCUGGGAGCUAUGGAGGUGGAUGUGAUUGGCAAAGACCUCUGCUCAGGUCUGCGUCAAACCUUGCUUCGCUCCCAUCCCAUUCUGCGCCAAUAGGGCGCAGUAUCCCAACCAUUCCACUCGGCUAGGAGGGGAUCCUAAGCCUCAAGGUCCGCAUCUCCCGCUGGAGGGACUGAGCAGCCGCACUGGUGUCCCAGAAUAGAUCGUGUUCCCCAGAGGUUGUCAGGUUCCCGCAAUUCGGCGCGGGCGAGGCGGCCAAAGAGAGGGCGCUCAUUGGCUGCCACAGCCCCGGUCCGAGAGGCCGAAGAAGGCUGAUUCGUCACAGGCCGUCAGCGCGGGCCACGCCUAUUUCCUCUCCAGGUUCUAAUUAGGUCAGGGGCCCUACAGCCUCUUGGGUAGUUUGCAAGUGCGUCGCGGAGCCGGCCUCGGAAAUAUGGCGACAGCUUCAGCUUUCAGUGCCAGCAGGAGCAUAUCACUGUGACUUACAACCCUUCUCUAGUCUGCUACAAUGGAAUCUUAAACAAGAAAAUUUUAUAUUUUGACUUGCAUCAUUGAGAAAAACACUGCCAACCUGAUCGUGGUUCCUUUGAAGAAUCACUGCAGCAGGUGCGAGAGAGGACUCAUGGAGCUUGCAGAUGAGCUAGCCCAGGUAGGACAUCUGAUGUUGGGACCCUCUUCAGAAGUGAAGCAUAUAUAAUCCCACAUGAAAUCUCUCAAGCCAUUCCAGAAGAAUGUUUUCUCAGAUAAAGGUUAUUUACCUAUUUAUAAUAAUUUAUAAUUUACAAAGCAUAUUCAUAUAUAUGAUCCCAUCUAACUCAUAAAAUUAUAUGAAAUGUAUACUAUCUCCAUUUUACAGAUGGGGAAAUUGAGCCUCAGAGUGAUAAAGUAACUUCCCCAAAGUCAUGUAGCUAGUAAAUGAAAGUGAUGAGACUCACACUAGGUUCUUCUAAGUUUUUAGAGUACUUCGUCCACGGCGCCAAGGUGUCUAGGGCAGAGACACCACAACCUCCUAAGGUAGGUUAUGCCAUUAAUGUUCCACUUGGGUGGGAAUACACACACACCCACACACACACUAUAAUUCACACUUCCUUAUAGUUAUAUUCCUCAUUCUUUGAACUUAAUCCAUGGUAAAGAAUUAUUUAUUAUGGUGGGGUAGAAGGAGACCCUUUGAGAUUUGAAGACACUGAUUAACCAUGUUAGUGUUUUUCCUCAGGCAAAAUAUUCAUGGGCUCUUUUACCAUAACUUGCUGUCCUUAUUUCCUCAUUAAAUUUCAAGUUUCCACAAAAUAAGAAAAGAAACAACUAAAGAAGAAAUUGUUGGAAGGCAUGGAGCAAAGUGUAAGAACAACUAAGUAAACAUGUACAUUUUGCAUUUUUAAAAAAUUCAGUGGCCAUAAUACCACUGGCCAACAGGCUGAUCAAAUAAUCCCUGAAACAAAGAGUUAUAUGUUACGGAGGGGAUUGAAUCAGAAUACAGAAAAGAGAGACUUGAGAGGUUAAGACAAAACAUCCUGGGAAAUACACCUAUUAAAAUAUGGUAACUAGCUGUUCUCCAUUUCUUUCAAGACAGAAUGGGAAAUGGAGGUAAACACAGCAAGAGUAUUAGUCGGUUAGACAACAGGAAUAUUUUGCUGAUUUUUGUUGUUGUUGUUUUGUUUUUGUUUUUGUUUUUGAGACAGUGUCUUGCUGCGACACCCA
rnacentral:lncRNA from 1 species